AAUCAACGCUGGCGGCGCGCUUAACACAUGCAAGUCGAGCGAGAAAGGGGAGCAAUCCCUGAGUACAGCGGCGUACGGGUGAGUAACACGUGGAUCAUCUACCUUCUAGUGGGGGAUAACCCUGGGAAACCGGGGCUAAUACCGCAUAAGCCUGUGAAGGGAAAGCCCCCGUUGUAAAAGAUGGGGGCGCUGGAAGAGGAGUCCGCGGCCGAUUAGCUAGUUGGUGAGGUAACGGCCCACCAAGGCGACGAUCGGUAGCCGGCCUGAGAGGGCACACGCCACACUGGCACUGAAACACGGGCCAGACUCCUACGGGAGGCAGCAGUGGGGAAUCUUGCACAAUGGAGGCAACUCUGAUGCAGCGACGCCGNGUG
rnacentral:rRNA from 1 species